rnacentral:misc_RNA from 1 species
UCCCCGAUUUCCGGGGCAGUCUCCCUAGAGUUCCCGGCAUUACCCGCUGGCAACUAGGAAAAGGGGUUGCGCUCGUUGCGCCACUUAAGGCAACACCUCACGGCACGAGCUGACGACAGCCGUGCAGCACCUGUGCACGCUCCCUUGCGGGUCCUCGGUGUCUCCACCUCGUACCACGUGCAUGUCAAGCCUGGGUAAGGUUCUUCGCGUUGCGUCGAAUUAAACCACACGCUCCGCUGCUUGUGCGGGCCCCCGUCAAUUCCUUUGAGUUUUAGCCUUGCGGCCGUAGUCCCCAGGCGGGGCACUUAUCGCGUUUGCUUCGGCACCGGGGGAGUCGAUACCCCCGACACCUAGUGCCCAUCGUUUACGGCGUGGACUAC